rnacentral:sRNA from 1 species
UUCGUCUGCAGUUUAUGAGGAUGAGCACCUCCGCAGGAGGUUCGAGCCUCGCGAAGCGAGACAACGUUGCUUUAGCAACGGCCCGGGCGCGCAUCAACGAUGCGCGUAAUCCUCUCUCGCCGACCA